rnacentral:rRNA from 1 species
UACGGAGGGCGCAAGCGUUAAUCGGAAUUACUGGGCGUAAAGCGUGCGCAGGCGGUGAUGUAAGACAGUUGUGAAAUCCCCGGGCUCAACCUGGGAACUGCAUCUGUGACUGCAUUGCUGGAGUGCGGCAGAGGGGGAUGGAAUUCCGCGUGUAGCAGUGAAAUGCGUAGAUAUGCGGAGGAACACCGAUGGCGAAGGCAAUCCCCUGGGCCUGCACUGACGCUCAUGCACGAAAGCGUGGGGAGCAAACAGG